rnacentral:rRNA from 1 species
UACGAAGGGUGCAAACGUUGCUCGGAAUUAUUGGGCGUAAAGCGCGCGUAGGCGGACCUGCAAGUCGGGGAUGAAAGCCCGAGGCUCAACCUCGGAACUGCCUUCGAUACUGCGGGUCUCGAGUCCGGGAGAGGUGAGUGGAAUUCCUAGUGUAGAGGUGAAAUUCGUAGAUAUUCGGAGGAACACCAGUGGCGAAGGCGGGCUCACUGGUCCAUUACUGACGCUGAGGUGCGAAAGCGUGGGGAGCAAACAGG